AGCCUAUCCUCAUCAGAGAGGUCUUCAAUGUAGUGCGCUGCCAACCCACAGCUCUCUGCGUCCUCCCCCAACAGGACAGGUAGCCUAUCCUCAUCAGAGAGGUCUUCAAUGUAGUGCGCUGCCAACCCACAGCUCUCUGCGUCCUCCCCCAACAGGACAGGUAGCCUAUCCUCAUCAGAGAGGUCUUCAAUGUAGUGCGCUGCCAACCCACAGCUCUCUGCGUCCUCCCCCAACAGGACAGGUAGCCUAUCCUCAUCAGAGAGGUCUUCAAUGUAGUGCGCUGCCAACCCACAGCUCUCUGCGUCCUCCCCCAACAGGACAGGUAGCCUAUCCUCAUCAGAGAGGUCUUCAAUGUAGUGCGCUGCCAACCCACAGCUCUCUGCGUCCUCCCCCAACAGGACAGGUAGCCUAUCCUCAUCAGAGAGGUCUUCAAUGUAGUGCGCUGCCAACCCACAGCUCUCUGCGUCCUCCCCCAACAGGACAGGUAGCCUAUCCUCAUCAGAGAGGUCUUCAAUGUAGUGCGCUGCCAACCCACAGCUCUCUGCGUCCUCCCCCAACAGGACGGGUAGCCUAUCCUCAUCAGAGAGGUCUUCAAUGUAGUGCGCUGCCAACCCACAGCUCUCUGCGUCCUCCCCCAACAGGACGGGUAGCCUAUCCUCAUCAGAGAGGUCUUCAAUGUAGUGCGCUGCCAACCCACAGCUCUCUGCGUCCUCCCCCAACAGGACGGGUAGCCUAUCCUCAUCAGAGAGGUCUUCAAUGUAGUGCGCUGCCAACCCACAGCUCUCUGCGUC